UGGGGAAUUUUGGACAAUGGGCGAAAGCCUGAUUCAGCAAUGCCGCGUGUGUGAAGAAGGCCUUCGGGUUGUAAAGCACUUUUGUCCGGAAAGAAAUCCUUGGCUCUAAUACAGUCGGGGGAUGACGGUACCGGAAGAAUAAGCACCGGCUAACUACGUGCCAGCAGCCGCGGUAAUACGUAGGGUGCAAGCGUUAAUCGGAAUUACUGGGCGUAAAGCGUGCGCAGGCGGUUUGCUAAGACCGAUGUGAAAUCCCCGGGCUCAACCUGGGAACUGCAUUGGUGACUGGCAGGCUAGAGUAUGGCAGAGGGGGGUAGAAUUCCACGUGUAGCAGUGAAAUGCGUAGAGAUGUGGAGGAAUACCGAUGGCGAAGGCAGCCCCCUGGGCCAAUACUGACGCUCAUGCACGAAAGCGUGGGGAGCAAACAGGAUUAGAUACCCUGGUAGUCCACGCCCUAAACGAUGUCAACUAGUUGUUGGGGAUUCAUUUCCUUAGUAACGUAGCUAACGCGUGAAGUUGACCGCCUGGGGAGUACGGUCGCAAGAUUAAAACUUAAAUGAAUUGACGGGGUCAUAGCUGUUUCCU
rnacentral:rRNA from 1 species